rnacentral:lncRNA from 1 species
GAGUAAAAUGAAUAGAAAGGAAACAUGAUGAGGUUCCAAUGUAUGAUAUAAGGGGAAGCAGUUAUGAAUUUUGAAAUUGGUUUAAAGGAGAGAUCAUACACCAGAGAAGACAAGUGUACAGGUAGGCAUCUUGACUGGUUGAUUUUAAUUGAAUGAAUAAGGAGAUGUGGUAGGAUUGCCAAUGUGACAAUUAUUCACCAUUGUCCAGAUAUAAGCAACUCUAGGUCAUCAUACUGAUUUCAACAAUAAUCACAACCAAUACUGUAUAGUCAGCUCUAUCCAGAUUUAAAGAGUUGGUACAUACAUGAAACAGCGGAGUCCCGAUAUUAAAUAGAAAUAGAUAGGUAGAUGUUAACCUCAAUGCAAAAGAGGACUAAAACAUAAUCAUUAGUUUUUGAUUACCAAUAAUCGUAGAAAACAGAAAAAUGUUGUAUUUAAAACAUUAAGAGACCUUUCCAUUUGUAACAAACAGGGAAUCAUACUUUUAGACAAAACUAUCCGUUGGUUAGAAUUUGAACAGAUCAAGUUCUGAAGCAAGGUUGAAUCUACAUCAUUAAAUUAAGGAUUAAACAAAGGGUAUGGCAAGCCGUUUUGCUAUUCAUUCAAACUUCAAGAUGUCUUAUAAACAUUAUAAGAUAUCUUAUAAAGUAUACAGUGUAUCUUAAAUGCCUGUACCAAGUCAGGAAUAUGAGAUAUAAAUAUCUUAUAAAGUAUAAAGUACAUGUACAUAGUAAAUGUCUGUACUAAGUCAGGAAUAUGACAGUUGUUAUCCAUUCGUUUGAUGUGUUUUAUCAUUUGAUUUUGCCAUUUGAUUAGGGAUUUUCUGUUUUGAAUUUUCCUCGGAGUUCAGUAUUUUGUGAUUUUACUUUUUUUUAUAUAAAAUAUAUUUAAGAAAUAUUAUUAACUAUACAAGCUAUUUUUUAUAUUAUAUAAGAUAUAAAAAACAGAUUAAAUAAGAUAUCUAAUUUAUUAUAUAAGAUAUUAUAUAUAUUAUAUGAUAUCUUUUUAUAUUAUACAAUAUAUUUUAUAUAGAUUAUAAAAUAUCUUAUAAUGUUUAUAAUAAGAUAUCUAAUAUAGUUUUUAAGAUAUCUCAAAAAUUUUAUAAGAUAUUUGAUAUAGCAUGUAUAGUUUAUAAGAUAGCUUAUAUAGUUAUAAGAUAUCUAUUAUAAAUAAACUCAACCUUCUGCUGUUGUCUUCUCUAUGGUCGGGUUGUUGUCUCUUUGACACAUUCCCCAUUUCCAUUCUCAAUUUUAUCAUCAUAGAUUCCAGGAUUGAAAUUUCAUAUUUACGCUAGAUGCGCAUUUCAUAUUUAAAAGACUCAUCAGUGACGCUCGAAUCAAAAAUAUUUUCUUAAUAAGAUACCUUCUAAACUAUAUCAGAUAUCUUGUAACCUACAUAAGAUUUAUUAUAAUCUAUAUAAGAUAUCUCAUAUAAAAAAAUUUAUAAGACAUCUCAUAUACUUUAGAAGAUAUUUUAUAAAGUAUAUAUGAUAUCUUAUAAACUAUAUGAGAUAUCUCAUAUAAUAUAUAUAAGAUAUCUUAUAAUAUGAAAUUAUAUAAGAUGCCUUAGGCCAAUUAAAAUAAAUUGAUAGAUUUUCAUCCCCGCCCGCCCCUCUGAAAUCGUCCCGCCCCGAUUUUUUUUAUUUUGAAAAAUUUACGAUUUCCGGAUUAGUUCAUCUCCGUUUCCGGUAACCGUCAAAAAUUUUGUUUCCUUUCAGACUUCCUGUUUCAAUUUUCGGUUUUCGUAUUACUUCGAGUAAUUAAAAAAGAUUCUGCAGCUCUACGAUGACAAAAUCGUCUACCGAGAAUAGAGAUUGAUUUCAAGAAGGGCAUGAAAUAAUCGGGUUACAAGUUAUACGCUGUGUCCAAGAUGGCAAAUCGCGGUAUGACACAAAUUUCUGUGAUUAAGAAAACCGUGGAUUUUUUUAUUGAUAAAAUGACUUUGUGGCAGGAAUUGUGGACUAUGAAUUAUACCCAAAGAGCUCGAAUCGUGGAACACAUUCGUACAAAACCAUAACUGUAUAAUUAAAAUGACGCAAGCUCGAACUUGUUAGAUUUAUGACCGUACAAUUGAGUUCAAAAAGUCGGCAAACAUACACUUAGAUUAACCCAUGGCUUUUUUAAUGACAAACAGCACAAACACCUUCUGUCCCAAUACCCUUAAGGUGGUACCCAACACUUUCACUAAAAUUAAUUUGGCUCGUUUAAUUUUCAUAAAAUUUUGUCAAAGUAUAAUUUACUUUGACACUUUAACAAAAAUAUAAAAAUUAAAAAAAAUUUGAACCAAUCGUUUUGUCAGAAAAAUUACACUGGUUAUAUAGCAAUUUGAUAAACGCCAAUUUUGAUCAUUGCGAAGCUUAAUAUUGCUUUUACAACACAACGUAAUUAAAACGUUUAGCUGACUUUACAGAGUUAUCUCCCUGUAGUGUUAGGUACCACCUUAAUAGAGCCAUUAAACAUCUUCUCUUUUUUGGUUAAGUUCAUGUUUUACAUAUUAAUCAUACAAGCACCAACCCUUUCGUUUUCAAAACAGUUUCAUUUUAUUCUGAACUCGUAAUUCUUUAGUUGCAUAUUUGUUUCAUUUUAUGGAGACAAAAAAAAUGGUCGCUUAAAAAGACACUAAAUUUGGUGAAGAUAGUCUAACUGAGGGGAGCAUCUUCUUUUUAUGUUUUUGCUGUUUAGGCUUCUAAAGCAGCUAUUACAUGUAGAACAGUGGUUGCCAAUUAGAGAUUUUUAUUCAUGUUAAGAUUUGAAAUAUUAUGUACCGUUCCUUAUAUGUAUAUACAUAAUAUAAACUUAUUAUUACUCUUGCAUAUUUGAAGAACAAGUCACAAGAGGGUUUCAUAAGAAGUAAAAAUUAAAAAAUUAAAUCCUCCCACCCGCCCCAUUUUUUUUCAAAAAUUUGGAUGAAAAUCUACUAAUUAAUUUUAGUUGGCCUUAUAUCUUAUAUGUUAUAUAAAAUAUCUUGAAAUUAUAAUAAAUAGUAAGAGAGCUUGCCAUAAUAGGGUAAGAUUUAUCCACAGGAUGAACAGAAAAUAACCUUGGGUUAAACUUUAGGGGAAAAAAACAAAUAAGGCAGACAUGAACAUGAUGAACCAAUUGCAGUAAUGUUCAUUUACCAAUUUAAAUAUUCAACUGAAUUUUGCAUGUGAAUGUUUGGUUUUAGGAUGAUUUAACUCCAACCAGCAUCAUUAUUUAGGAUUAUAAAUCUUGUUUUUACUUUACAGUAUGUAGAGAAGUUCAGGACAAGCUAUUGUUUGAAGAGGAAAGAGUCUCAGUACAGCACCAAAUCAUGAGACAAUACAAUUGAUUGUUAUUACCAAGAGUGGAUGUAUCUGACUAGCAUUUGUAUGACAUUUAUCAUAUGAAGACUUACAAGGCAAAGAAUCAGAUGUUACAAACAAAUAUGUGUGUAUUUAAAGACAUGAAUAUUUUAAUUUUACUUUCUUCUUUUGAUUUGAAGAGAAUUUAUUUUAGAUGCUUACUUAUGUGUAUAAAAUGAAGAAUGUCC